GAAAUGCGAUAAGUAAUGUGAAUUGCAGAAUUCAGUGAAUCAUCGAAUCUUUGAACGCACAUUGCGCUCGCCAGUAUUCUGGCGAGCAUGCCUGUUCGAGCGUCAUUUCAACCAUCAAGCUCUGCUUGCGUUGGGGAUCCGCGGCUGCCCGCGGUCCCUCAAAAACAGUGGCGGGCUCGCUAGUCACACCGAGCGUAGUAACUCUACAUCGCUAUGGUCGUGCGGCGGGUUCUUGCCGUAAAACCCCCAAUUUCUAAGGUUGACCUCGGAUCAGGUAGGAAUACCCGCUGAAGUUAAGC
rnacentral:misc_RNA from 1 species